GGGGAGUCGAUAACCGGACUGUGAUCCCAGGGUGUCCGAAUGGGGAAACCCCGCCAGGGGCGCGAGCUGCCUGGUGACCCGCAUCUGAACACAUAGGGUGCGUGGAGGGAACGCGGGGAAGUGAAACAUCUCAGUACCCGCAGGAAGAGAAAACAAUAGUGAUUCCGUUAGUAGUGGCGAGCGAACGCGGAUCAGGCUAAACCGUUCCAUGUGUGAUAGCCGGCGGGCGUUGCAUGGUCGGGGUUGUGGGACUUUCCGUACCAGUUCUGCCGGACUGGUGAGGUGUGAUGUGCAGGCAUAGGUGAACGGUCUUGAAAGGCCGGCCGUAGAGGGUGUGAGCCCCGUAACCGAAAUGUUGUGUACCGCCUGGAGAGUAUCCCAAGUAGCACGGGGCCCGAGAAAUCCCGUGUGAAUCUGUCAGGACCACCUGAUAAGCCUAAAUACUCCCUAAUGACCGAUAGCGGACCAGUACCGUGAGGGAAAGGUGAAAAGUACCCCGGGAGGGGAGUGAAACAGUACCUGAAACCGUGUGCUUACAAUCCGUCGGAGCCAGUCUGAUUCUGGUGACGGCGUGCCUUUUGAAGAAUGAGCCUGCGAGUUAGUGUUACGUCGCGAGGUUAACCCGUGUGGGGAAGCCGUAGCGAAAGCGAGUCUGAACAGGGCGUUGCAGUGGCGUGAUCUAGACCCGAAGCGAAGUGAUCUACCCAUGGCCAGGUUGAAGCGACGGUAAGACGUCGUGGAGGACCGAACCCACUUCAGUUGAAAAUGGAGGGGAUGAGCUGUGGGUAGGGGUGAAAGGCCAAUCAAACUUCGUGAUAGCUGGUUCUCCCCGAAAUGCAUUUAGGUGCAGCGUUGCGUGUUUCUUACCGGAGGUAGAGCUACUGGAUGGCUAAUGGGCCCUACAAGGUUACUGACGUCAGCCAAACUCCGAAUGCCGGUAAGUGAGAGCGCAGCAGUGAGACUGUGGGGGAUAAGCUUCAUAGUCGAGAGGGAAACAGCCCAGACCACCAACUAAGGCCCCUAAGCGUGUGCUAAGUGGGAAAGGAUGUGGAGUUGCGAAGACAACCAGGAGGUUGGCUUAGAAGCAGCCAUCCUUAAAAGAGUGCGUAAUAGCUCACUGGUCAAGUGAUUCCGCGCCGACAAUGUAGCGGGGCUCAAGUACACCGCCGAAGUUGUGGCAUUCAGAUAUUAGCUAAGCCCUUGUGGUUCAGGCGUCUGGAUGGGUAGGGGAGCGUCGUGUGGGCGGUGAAGUCGCGGUGUAAACCAGCGGUGGAGCCUACACGAGUGAGAAUGCAGGCAUGAGUAGCGAAAGACGGGUGAGAAACCCGUCCGCCGAAUGAUCAAGGGUUCCAGGGUCAAGCUAAUCUGCCCUGGGUAAGUCGGGACCUAAGGCGAGGCCGACAGGCGUAGUCGAUGGACAACGGGUUGAUAUUCCCGUACCGGCGAAAAACCGCCCAUGUUGAACAGGGGAUACUAACCGCCCGAGACC
rnacentral:rRNA from 1 species